GCCGCGCUGGUCAGCGGCGUGAUGCUGGUCUUCGGCGGUGGCCAGCUGCUGAUCUUCAUCGGCGCGGCG
rnacentral:tRNA from 1 species